UACGUAGGGCGCAAGCGUUGUCCGGAAUUAUUGGGCGUAAAGAGCUCGUAGGCGGCCUGUCGCGUCUGCUGUGAAAUCCCGGGGCUUAACCCCGGGCGUGCAGUGGAUACGGGCUGGCUGGAGGCAGGCAGGGGAGAACGGAAUUCCCGGUGUAGCGGUGAAAUGCGCAGAUAUCGGGAGGAACACCGGUGGCGAAGGCGGCUCUCUGGGACGGUACUGACGCUGAGACGCGAAAGCGUGGGGAGCGAACAGG
rnacentral:rRNA from 1 species